GCACUCAGGAAAACAGAAGUCACCACCAUCUUGCUAACUCUUUGUGUGUGCAGAAGCCUGCACAGCUCAGUGCUGCCACUGCUGCUUCCACCAAAGGGGAAAAAUGGAGCAUGAGGAGAGCGGGUGCUACUGGGCAGGCCAGAGGAGGCUGCAGGGGCUGCCUCAAUCCCUCCCAUUCCCUGAGAGCAGCAGGAGCAGCAAUCCUCUCUUUGGUGCACCCUUCUGCAUUUGCACGUUUGCAAACCUGGUGAGUGCUUAACUGGUUUGAAGACUCAUAGCUGCUUGGAAUCUUCUGGAUGUUAGCAUUCUGCUGUGCCUAAUGACCAAAGGUUCUGCUUACUCUCAAAAAGGCAUAGUAGAAGACUAGCAGUCUGAAGCAGAUAAAAAAAACAAGAAUGAGCAAUAUGCUAGAAAGAUAAUUAUAUAAACAAUGAACAUUAGUGCACAACAACAUAAUCCAGUCCCAAGAUCCAAUGAAUAGCUGCAUGCUUCAAAGACUCUGGGAAUGUCAGGCAACAAAAAAGGACACUCCAGUCACCAUCCAGCAACCUUGAAUAUGGAUCUGUAAGUGUUUUUAUGUGUAUUCAUUUAAAAUAGCAUUAAUGAAUGGCAAUAGACCAAGCUAUGACUGAAUGUAGCAUUGCUCUUUACUGUUGACCUUUGAGCCUAAAUCGUACAAUCUCUUAAAUAUGUAACUUUACUAUGAAAAGGGAUAUGUUAUCUUGUUAACUUAUGGAUGUAACUGUGGAUAGAAUUUAAAUUUUAUAUUCCUUCUAUCUGAAGGGAAAAUGGCAUUUCUGCUGUUGCUGUUCCUAGUUUAUUUUAAAGCAUUUCUUCCUCAUAGUUGGCUCUGAAUAUGAAAAAGAGCAGAGGGAAGAAAAUGGUCUAAAAUUAAAAUAUGUGAAAAGGACAUUUCUAUGAACAGAAAUUCUCUGGAUAAAAACUUAGAGGUGAAAUACUAAAGGCUCUUCAGUAAAACAAUAUUCCAUGACAAACCUCAGAGCUGGAAGUGCCUUCUUCAGGUAAGGAUGUUCAGUCAGUCUGACUGUAUCUUCAGGAAACCACUGGUGGAAACCAAUCUUCAUUGCUUCGGGAAUGUGAAUUUCUCCUGUGGAGAAAUCUGCAGAAUCUAAGGUAAUGGCCUAAGGUAAUGCAUUUAGUUCAUCAACCAAUUUCUGCACAGUUAUCGUAUUAUGAAUGCAAUCACAAAGUGGGAGGUUCCCUUUUCUGUCUUAAUGGAUGCUAAAAUAGUAUUUCAUGGCCUAUAGGGGUACCAAAAAAAAAAAAAAAAAAAAAAAAGUUUAUCCAGUCUAGUUAGAUGAAUUGGCCACUUCCUUCCAUGAUUAUCAAUGCGUACGGCUUUAGACUUUUAGAUUUUCCAGUUGUGUAAAUGAUCUCAGUGUUUCAGACAGAGAAUGUCGUUGUUCCUCUGAGUAUAUGCAUGCAGAUGACUGUUAAUGUGUAUAUUAUAACUUCUUUGGUUUGGGUAGUUUUUAUGAAAUCUGCUCAUGUAAGAAAAUAAGAGCAUGUAUAAUAAUACCAUAAAAUAAAUAUACCCUUUAUCAUCGUACAAUGAAAGCUUUAAAAUUAAAGCAUUAUGCAAAGUUUGAGAUAGCAUAAACCAUGUUUCAGGAAAAUAUCUGUUAUGCUCAUAGGAAAAUAUUAACUGUCCAAAAUUCUUCAUUGAUUUCUGCUGUAUGUGUACACUUUUAUUCCUUUAUUAGGAUUUCCAUUCUUCUUUAUAAUAUAUAUGUAUUAUUUUAUUAUGGGUAUUACUUGGGACUAAUACUAUGGAGAAAUGUUUU